UCCAGUGUUAGUGUAUGAAGUUUUGCCAUCAGUUCAAGUAAUCAACAAUGGAAAAGUCUGCAAAUGCAGAGGAAUAUGAAAAGAUGUCUCUUGAACAGGCAAAAUCCUCAGUAAAUUCUGAAACAGAGUCUUCAUUUAGUAUUGAUGAAAAUACAACAGCGUCUGGAAUUGGGCUUUCUGAAAAGACUCCUAUCUAUGAGCAAGCAGAUACACCAAGAAAGAGGAAAGAGUUUGAAGAUAAUCUUGUAAAGGAAAGUUGCAGUCGUGGGGAAGAUAAUCCAUCCAAGAAAAGAAAACUUGAUGCUAAAAUUGUCCCAGAGGAAAAAGGUUCUGGUGAUGAUGAAGGCAUGUCAAAGAAAAGAAAAAGAGAAAUCGAUGUUCCAAAAGAUGAACCUUCUGCUGGAGAUGGCACUCAAAAAAAGAGAAAAAUAGAACUUGAGGAUGUUCCUGAAAAGCAUAAAGUAUGUUGA